rnacentral:rRNA from 1 species
AUUAGAUACCCUGGGUAGUCCACGCCGUAAACGAUGAUUACUAGGUGUCGGUGGGUAUGGACCCACCGGUGCCGCAGCAAACGCAGUAAGUAAUCCACCUGGGGAGUACGUUCGCAAGAAUGAAACUCAAAGGAAUUGACGGGGACCCGCACAAGCGGUGGAGCAUGUGGUUUAAUCCGAAGCAACGCGAAGAACCUUACCAAGUCUUGACAUCCCAUCGAAUAAAGGGUAAUGCCUUUAGUCCUUCGGGACGAUGGAGACAGGUGGUGCAUGGUUGCCGUCAGCUCGUGUCGUGAGAUGUUGGGUUAAGUCCCGCAACGAGCGCAACCCUUAUCCUCAGUAGCCAGCAGGUAAAGCCGGGCACUCUGGGGAGACU